GAGGUACUAGUUAAACCAUAAUAAUGCCUUGUCAAGGCAUAGUUACAGGUUAAAUCCCUGUGUACCUCU
rnacentral:tRNA from 1 species